rnacentral:rRNA from 1 species
GACGAACGCUGGCGGCGUGCUUAACACAUGCAAGUCGAGCGGAAAGGCCCUUCGGGGUACUCGAGCGGCGAACGGGUGAGUAACACGUGAGUAAUCUGCCCUUCACUCUGGGAUAGCCACCGGAAACGGUGAUUAAUACCGGAUACGACCAAUCCCUGCAUGGGGUGUUGGUGGAAACUUUUUUGGGUGGGGGAUGUGCUCGCGGCCUAUCAGCUUGUUGGUGGGGUAAUGGCCUACCAAGGCUUCGACGGGUAGCCGGCCUGAGAGGGUGACCGGCCACACUGGGACUGAGACACGGCCCAGACUCCUACGGGAGGCAGCAGUGGGGAAUAUUGGACAAUGGGCGGAAGCCUGAUCCAGCAACGCCGCGUGAGGGAUGACGGCCUUCGGGUUGUAAACCUCUUUCAGCACCGACGAAGCGCAAGUGACGGUAGGUGCAGAAGAAGGACCGGCCAACUACGUGCCAGCAGCCGCGGUAAUAC